rnacentral:rRNA from 1 species
AAUGAACGCUGGCGGCGUGCCUAAUACAUGCAAGUCGAGCGAACAGACGAGGAGCUUGCUCCUCUGACGUUAGCGGCGGACGGGUGCGUAACACGUGGAUAACCUACCUAUAAGACUGGGAUAACUUCGGGAAACCGGAGCUAAUACCGGAUAAUAUAUUGAACCGCAUGGUUCAAUAGUGAAAGACGGUUUUGCUGUCACUUAUAGAUGGAUCCGCGCCGCAUUAGCUAGUUGGUAAGGUAACGGCUUACCAAGGCGACGAUGCGUAGCCGACCUGAGAGGGUGAUCGGCCAGACUGGAACUGAGACACGGUCCAGACUCCUACGGGAGGCAGCAGUAGGGAAUCUUACGCAAUGGGCGAAAGCCUGACGGAGCAACGCCGCGUGAGUGAUGAAGGUCUUCGGAUCGUAAAACUCUGUUAUUAGGGAAGAACAAAUGUGUAAGUAACUAGGAACGUCUUGACGGUACCUAAUCAGAAAGCCACGGCUAACUACGUG